rnacentral:lncRNA from 1 species
GCCGCAGCGAUGCCACGCAUGACUAGUCUUACCAUUGCGAAAGUUUUGUGUCCAUCUGUACAUAGCUGUAAAUUAUCGUUGACAAGCUGUGUCAUCCGAACAAGUCAGUAAUAGAUUGAUGGUUGUCCAUGGUCGGCUUUUCCCCCUGAUUCAGUGGCUCAUUCGUAUAACAUAAACGUCCAUGAUGAAUUCCAGGCAAAUAUUGUUGUUCUCUACGUAUAAAAUGGACCAAACAACGUUCUUUCAAUGCAGAACAAUUCUCGAAUCACUUGGCCUUCAGAGGGAUUUUUCCAGUAACCAUCCUUUAAUUAGAAGUUUUUCACAACGGUAUAUCCAUGUAGCUAUGCUUGUGAAAAUCAUUGUAGACAGUUGUUUUGGAUUCUCGUAUUCAUCUUAUAAAUGUUAUUCAAUGAGCAACGAAUGCAUUGGCAGAGACUUAUGCUCAUAAUUUAUAAAUGUAGGUAGAGAGAGUUUGUGACUCUCUUUGAUCUCUACUAGUCCGAUCACAUUGUUUUUGCGAACAAAAAAAGGCCAUUUUCGGUAGAUUUUUAUCACGCUAAAGAGCAAAGAGCCAUCUCUACCCAUAUUUAUAAAUUAUAAGUCAUAUUCAGAAUCAGAAGGCUUAAUGAUAAUAGGUACAGGUUCAGGAAUUGGGCCAAUUAUGUUAUGAGAUCACUAUGUCUGUUAAAUGUAGCUGUAACUAUGUAUGUGGCAGCAGAGUACAAAUUACCUCUAAGAAAACAAAAUAAGCAGAAAAAACGGGACCACUAUGACUGUUAAAUGUAACUAUAGACUGGUUACAGUACAAAUUAGACUUAAGAAAAUGGAAUAACGAACAGAAGAAGAAAUCUGAUCAUAUGAUAAGAAGAAAAUAUAUUAAUUCUAAAAGUCAAACACUCCAAAACUUUUUUUGAAUUUUACAAGCAUUCACAAAAUUAUGAAUUCUGAGAAUAAAGUUUUUUUUUGCAUUCCAACUAAUUUAAGGCUGAUUUCAAGAUGUAUCUAGUCCGUCAAACUCAGUUACAUUCAAGUGAUAACGUAGUACAAAUAAGACUUUAAGAAACAGAAUUUUUUGAUGCAAUGAAAACUACUAUGACUAUUUGUAAGACGUAGCUACCUGAUACGACAGAUUAUCACGUACUGUUUGCACGUACAAUAUCUUCAUUUAUUAAUAACUUUUUUGUGGAAUAAGGUAGAAAUUAUAUUCAUUCUGAAUAUGUUAGGAUACAAAUUUCAUUGAAUGAUCAAACUCUGUUAUUAUAUACUGAAAUUUUUUAUUGUAUUUGAAAUAAGUAAGAAUAAAUGAACUCUUUGCUAGUG